UUCAGAUGUGGCCUAUAUAAGCCUCUUAAAGACACUGGGUAAUAUUGUUUGUAGAUACUGAUGACAAUUUUAAUAAUGGGAGUUGAGAAACUAUUUUUCUUUUUGGUCGUACUGAUUCUUGGGAACAUGAGUGUUUCUUGUUUCCCUUUUGGUGAGUUAGAUGGAAUCUCUCUGAAGGGACUUCAAGGGAUCCAAAGGUUCCGCUGCCACGGCUACAUCUGUCCCUCCUGCCCCCACUCGUCAUGCUGCGUCUGUCGCCAAGUCCGGGGUGUCUAAUGACUAUGUUGACAAUCA